rnacentral:lncRNA from 10 species
CGACUGGUCGAAUGGCAAGCAUCUUACUCAAAUAGAGUCAUAAGGUCUCUUCUCUGGGAAUUUUAGCCCUUGGAAAUUAUGUGGGCACCUGGACUAUCACAUAUACACUGGGGAGCUGUAUGUGGUAGCCAUUUUCUGCUACAAGAUCUAAGAAACAGAAGUUAGUUUGCAAUGAAAGAUUAAUAAUACAACAGGAUUAUAAGGAAUGUCCAUUUGUGCUUUAGCAACUUGAAGCUUCAGUGAAAAGAAUCAGAACACAGAGAAAACUUGCUGCUAGGACAAAAAUGAAGGAAAGAAUCAUCCCAGGAUGGUGAUACUCGGGUUACAGGCUCACAGGCAGAAGGGACUUGGCCUUUCUCAGAUGAGACUUUGGACUGUGGACUUCAGAGGUAAUGCUGAAAUGAGUUGACUUUGGGGGGACUGUUGGGAUGGCAUGAUUGGUUAUGAAAUGUGAUGACAUGAGAUUUUGGGAGGAGCCAGCUACCGCUCAUAAGGUUUCACUCUCUGU